rnacentral:antisense_RNA from 1 species
AGAUCAGCCCUGGGGUUCAGAGGGAUCCUGACGGCUACUCCUCAAGAUCCUCUCUGUUGUGAUUCAUCCCCCCCAGGCCCUACAGUUUCUCCUUCCUGACUCUUACAUUUCUUUGGAUGGCAUCACUAUUUACCUGUCUCCUCCCAUAGUUAGUUGCCAAGCACUGUGGAUUCUACCCCUCAGGGUCCAGACACCCAUUUUCCUUCCCACUGUUCCCUCCCCAUGGAGAAGCCUGUGGCUGACUGACAGCUCAACUUGGAGAAGGUGUUACCUGGGCCAGGUGGGGAAGGUAGGGUUGUUUGCAGAGCAAAGAAGUGAAGGAAGUAUUAACCCUUUGCAUGGCCUCCUGAGAAUCUGACAAGACGUAAAUAGCCAAGAAUAUCUGUGGAACUUAAUCAGUGAGUUACAAUAUUUAUCACUGCAAGUGUGUUGUUCAUUGACACUAUAAAGCCAUAUGGAAUUAAGCAGCCUUGAAACACAAAAUGGAGAAAGGCUAAGAGCUGAGAAUUGUUGCCUUCAGGGAAAUAUAAUCAAUGUCAAGCAAACAACCACCCCAAAAUGAUCCUCAUGUGACAGGUGACCUGCCAUAUAAUCAGAAGGAAGAAGUGUUACACAGAGAGGCUGAGAAGAAUCUGAGGACUUGCUAAGUUUUCCCCAGUUUAUUACCAUUAGAUCAUAUGCCUUUUUUGUUCAAUCA